AUGAACGCUGGCGGCGUGCCUAAUACAUGCAAGUCGAGCGAACGGACGAGAAGCUUGCUUCUCUGAUGUUAGCGGCGGACGGGUGAGUAACACGUGGAUAACCUACCUAUAAGACUGGGAUAACUUCGGGAAACCGGAGCUAAUACCGGAUGAUAUUUUGAACCGCAUGGUUCAAAAGUGAAAGACGGUCUUGCUGUCACUUAUAGAUGGAUCCGCGCUGCAUUAGCUAGUUGGUAAGGUAACGGCUUACCAAGGCAACGAUGCAUAGCCGACCUGAGAGGGUGAUCGGCCACACUGGAACUGAGACACGGUCCAGACUCCUACGGGAGGCAGCAGUAGGGAAUCUUCCGCAAUGGGCGAAAGCCUGACGGAGCAACGCCGCGUGAGUGAUGAAGGUCUUCGGAUCGUAAAUCUCUGUUAUUAGGGAAGAACAUAUGUGUAAGUAACUGUGCACAUCUUGACGGUACCUAAUCAGAAAGCCACGGCUAACUACGUG
rnacentral:rRNA from 1 species